CUUGGGAGCACAGCUCAGCUGUGGUCUCUAAAAGCCAGCUCCUCUGAGGUUUCUGCACACGGUUGGUUUUCAGGACUCAAGUAAGAAGCACACCAGCGAGCGAGUGGGCGGAAGAAGAGCAAAGCUGGUGAUAACAUCGUCAGCAGAAACAAAUGACAAGUUUGUGGUUCAGGGGGUCAUUAAAGCAUCACACUUCCUAUCCACUCUUCAAAAACAGAUCCACUUUGGAACCUGGGGUAAACAAAUCAAAACAGCAGAGAGAAUGACAGCAAUGGCACCUGGAGCAAGUGCAUCCCCUCCAAGCAAGUGCAUCCCUCCAAGCAAAGUGCAUCCUCUCCAUCCCCUCAAAAGUGCAUCUCUCCAAGCAAGCAUCCUCUGCCUUUACUGGGCUGUGCUGAGAACAGUCACUUGGAGGAUGCAAGUAGGGAAGGGUUGGUGAUAGCAAAUGAGUGCCCUGACACUCACACCAAACAUGCUUGCUCCCUGCUCUCUGGGAAAUCCUUAGACCCCUAUGGAAGUGACACAGCAGCUGUGGACUCUCAUUUCUUCUGAAAGCCCAGAACAAAAAGCCUCUGGCCAGGAAACAGCUGGUGCAGGAUGCCAUCCUGGGUUUGCAAUGAUGGGACUUGAAAUAUUUUGUUGGGAAAAGACAUGGGCCAGGCCUGCCUGGAACUCCCAUUGUUCUCAGCCUGCAGUUAGACCCUUAUACAAAGGGUCAUAGUGAUUCACAUGGAAAUGGUUUUUCCCCCUAACUUAAUUUUCUGUUCCCUGGGGGUAUGGAAACACCAUCACACAGCACAACACAACACCAUAUAGGAAUGAAAGAAAUAAUUGCUGAUUAAUACCCCAUGAUAUAAAUAUCAGAGGCAAAUCAACUUUCAGUGGCUUAAAAAUGGACAACUCUUACAAUAAUACAAAAGAUUUGGGCUCCUUUCCACCAUGAAGUGUUUAUUUGUUUAUUUGAGACAGUGUCUUACUAUGUAGACCAGGCUACAGUGAAAGUUGCAACCACCUCUCUCAACCUUCCAGUUGCUGGGAUUAUAGGAGUGUCCCACUGUGCCCAGCCAUUAAGGAGGGUGGAUUUUUUGUUGUUGUUGUUGUUGUUGUUGUUGUUGUUUAAACAUAGAAUUGUUAACAAUGAAAAUGCACCUUCUAUGGAUUUUUAAUAUUAUUUCUGUAUAACUUUCUGUUCCCUUUCAGCCCUAAAAAUCUAAACAAUAUUUUCUUGGUGUUCUAUGGCUUCCAUUUAUCCUUAAAACCAUUUUUAAAAAAAUCAUCAUUCAAGACAAUGUACUCAGUCUCAAGGCAUAAUUAACUAGAAAGCAAAGUUUUAAAAUGUAGAAAAGAUGAUCUGAAC
rnacentral:lncRNA from 1 species